GCAAGGGGAAGAUAUUAACACCCCUCACAUCCAUGGUAUUCCAUGGGAACCAUUUGGGUUAUUUUAUGUACACGGGGAUUUAUCUAUCAUUGAUUUAUUUUCAAAAUAAUGUGUGUGAGAGAGGUUUUUUUUAUUAUUUAUUAUAGUGCUCACCAAGGAUUGUAGCAAUUGUGCCUACGUAUCACUCAUUCGGGGAUGAGGAAUCAGAGCUCC
rnacentral:lncRNA from 1 species